CCUACGGGUGGCAGCAGUCGAGAAUCAUUCACAAUGGGGGAAACCCUGAUGGUGCGACGCCGCGUGGGGGAAUGAAGGUCUUCGGAUUGUAAACCCCUGUCAUGUGGGAGCAAAUUAAAAAGAUAGUACCACAAGAGGAAGAGACGGCUAACUCUGUGCCAGCAGCCGCGGUAAUACAGAGGUCUCAAGCGUUGUUCGGAACCACUGGGCGUAAAGCGUGCGUAGGCUGUUUCGUAAGUCGUGUGUGAAAGGCGCGGGCUCAACCCGCGGACGGCACAUGAUACUGCGAGACUAGAGUAAGGGAGGGGGAACCGGAAUUCUCGGUGUAGCAGUGAAAUGCGUAGAUAUCGAGAGGAACACUCGUGGCGAAGGCGGGUUCCUGGACAGUAACUGACGCUGAGGCACGAAGGCCAGGGGAGCGAAAGGGAUUAGAUACCCCAGUAGUC
rnacentral:rRNA from 1 species